rnacentral:rRNA from 1 species
GUGUCAGCCGCCGCGGUAAUACAGAGAGUGCAAGCGUUAAUCGGAAUUACUGGGCGUAAAGCGCACGUAGGUGGAUAUUUAAGUCGGAUGUGAAAUCCCUGGGCUUAACUCAGGAAUUGCAUUCGAUACUGGAUAUCUAGAGUAUAGUAGAGGGAGGUGGAAUUUCCGGUGUAGCGGUGAAAUGCGUAGAUAUCGGAAAGAACAUCAGUGGCGAAGGCGGCCUCCUGGACUAAUACUGACACUUAGGUGCGAAAGCGUGGGGAGCAAACAGGAUUAGAGACCCUGGUAGUCCACGCUGUCAACUAUGAGAGCUAGAUGUUGGAGAUUAAGUUCUUUAGUAUCGAAGCUAACGCGUUAAGCUCUCCGCCUGGGGAGUACGGCCGCAAGGUUAAA